UAUUUCCGGGUUCAACGGGGGAGAGGGUAUGUAUUUCAAUGAGUGAUGAUGAAUGCAUGCAGAGAAUAUAAGAGAGUGGGUUGGAUACUUGGAAUCUGAACAAGUUUCCUGUAUCAGUCGUCCGUAUAAAUAAAUGUAACAUUUCAAUUACCAUUACAAUACGGCAUAGGGAUAGAGCAGCCACCUUCCAAACUUGUCCGUUGUAAUGGUGCAGCAGGAAGAAGAUGAGGAUCAUCCGUCUGAAUCUGUUUCCAGCCGCCGCUGUGCUAUUUGCAGCGCCACUCGUCCUUUCAUCCUCCACCUUAUCCCUUACAGAGGUCUCCACCGCCAUCUCUGCACCGCCUGCGUACUGGAUUCCCACCCCGGUUCCUUCUGUCCCAUCUGCUUCGAUGUCUUCCUUAACAACCCUCCUCCACCUCGUCUCCGUCUCUUAUGCUUAAAAUGCCCUUCUAUUUCUCACAUCUCUUGCGUCCCUCAUCCUCAUCCUUCCUCCUACUUGUGCCCUCUUUGUUCUAACCCUAAUUUCACUUUCUUCCAUGUUACUCCUAAUAAUAAUGCUAUUGAAAUCAACCUUCAUUUGGCUAAGCAGUUGGUUGCUGCUGCUACAAUUGCUUUUGAGUCUAUUCACAAUGCUGCUGUUAUGGCCAGGAUUAAUGCUGAUAUUAGGGUACAGGAAGCUCUGUUAGCUAAGGCUGAAGCUAAGCAUGUUUUGGAUAGGCUAAACAAUCUGAUGGACCCCACACUUGUAUCUGAUACUUCAGUAGAUAGCUGAACUUCCCUGUUUCGCACCUGCUGUUCCAACUGCACUUGCUGGAACAAAGGUAGAUCUUCAAGAAGACGACAUCUAGCUGAUCCUAUGGGCUCAUAUAUCAUUACGCCUGCCCAAAUGUGUGUUGCUAUAUCAUUAUGAGUUUCACAUUUUUCUUGAUACUAGUUUUCGAAUGCUAAUUAAUCCGUACAAUUUUUUUAAAACGAUAUACUACUUAACAUCAAAAUAAGUGUAUAUAGUGAGUGAUACGGAAUUUGAAAGAGAAAAGUGCAAGCUCAAACUAAUAAUGAGCCUAUAUGAUUAAAUUUACUAGUACUUCAAUUAUGGAAGCACAAAAAAUGUUGCUAAUGGCGACUGAAUGGUACCUUCAACGCCAAUAGAUUUUUCAAAAAAAUGUCAUUCUAGUGUGUUGGGUUCUACUACGAAAUAUCAGCACAAUGAUCAUGUCCAACAUAAGUGGAGCUAUUAUACGAGACAAGAUAGAUAAGAGGAAUAGAGAGAAAAGAGAAGUGGUAGUAAGAACUGGCUGCUGCAGAUAACUGGAACAAAUUUAUGUGAUAUUUUAUUCCAUGUAAAAAGGGAAAUAUGUAUGUAUUUCAAUGAGUAAUGAAUGCAUGCAGAGAACAUAAGAGAGCAAGGAGUGGGUUAGAUACUUAGAAUCUCAACAAGAUUCCUAUAUCAGUCCCCAUAUAAAUAAACGUAACAUUUCAAUUACCAUUACAAUACGCCAUAGGGCUUCCAAAAUUGUUUGUUUUAAUUAAAAAAAAAAAAAAUUGUUC